CGAGGUCACAUGUGGUGCAGCA
rnacentral:miRNA from 1 species